AUGGCGGCCAGCAGGAGGCUGAUUAAGAGCUUGAGGAAAUCUGCAAAUGUGGGAUGAAAAACUUCCCGUAACAUCCAGGUUGAUGAAGCUAAUUUAUUGACUUAGCAAGGGCUUAUUGUUCCUGACAACUCUCCAUAUGAUUAGGUGACCUUCAGAAUCGAAAUCAACUUUCCAGCAGAGUAUCCAUUCAAACUACCAAAGAUCACAUUUAAAACAAAGAUCUAUCACCCAAAUAUCGACGAAAAGGGGCAGGUCUGUCUGUCAGUAAUUAGUGCUGAAAACUGGAAGCCAGCAACCAAAACCGACCAAGUAAUCCAGUCCCUCAUAGCACUGGUGAAUGACCCCCAGCCCGAGCACCCGCUUCGGGCUGACCUAGCUGAAGAAUACUCUAAGGACCGUAAAAAAUUCUGUAAGAAUGCUGAAGAGUUUACAAAGAAAUAUGGGGAAAGUGACCUGUGGACUAA
rnacentral:lncRNA from 10 species